CGGACGGGUGAGUAAUGUCUGGGAAACUGCCUGAUGGAGGGGGAUAACUACUGGAAACGGUAGCUAAUACCGCAUAACGUCGCAAGACCAAAGAGGGGGACCCUCGGGCCUCUUGCCAUCGGAUGUGCCCAGAUGGGAUUAGCUAGUAGGUGGGGUAACGGCUCACCUAGGCGACGAUCCCUAGCUGGUCUGAGAGGAUGACCAGCCACACUGGAACUGAGACACGGUCCAG
rnacentral:rRNA from 1 species